rnacentral:rRNA from 1 species
CCUACGGGGGGCAGCAGUGAGGAAUAUUGGUCAAUGGGCGGAAGCCUGAACCAGCCAAGUCGCGUGAGGGAAUAAGGCCCUACGGGUCGUAAACCUCUUUUGCCGGGGAGCAAGGGCCGGGACGCGUCCCGGCCCGGAGAGUACCCGGAGAAAAAGCAUCGGCUAACUCCGUGCCAGCAGCCGCGGUAAUACGGAGGAUGCGAGCGUUAUCCGGAUUUACUGGGUGUAAAGGGAGCGUAGACGGCAGUGCAAGUCUGAAGUGAAAGGCAAGGGCUCAACCCUUGGACUGCUUUGGAAACUGUGCU